CCUUCGAUAGCUCAGUUGGUAGAGCGGUGGACUGUAGAUUGUGCAAUUUGAGGGUAGAAAUCCAUAGGUCGCUGGUUCAAAUCCGGCUCGAAGGA
rnacentral:tRNA from 1 species